AUGGGGAAGCGAUCGUCCCCACGAGGCGGCAUGCCCAAGAAUCGCGUCCGUUUUCCGAAGAGGACGCACUAUG
rnacentral:ncRNA from 1 species